GCAGUGACCUACUCAGAGAGGCACUGGCAUGUGGAAUUACAAACAUCCAGGUCCUUUCUGGGUAGAGCAAGGCU
rfam:Oryctolagus cuniculus unplaced genomic scaffold chrTn0002, whole genome shotgun sequence.